GCUGCCCCCGUCUGCCCAAGGCACAGAGCUCACAAGCAGAGUUUAAAGCUCGAGCUGCCAGGCAGCAAAACCAGCCGGGCGCCGUGGCUGGUGCCUGUUAUCCCAGCUNUCGGCAUCAAUAUGGUGAUCCCGGGGGAGCUUGGGGUCCCCAGGUGGCCUAAGGAGGGGUGAACCGGCCCAGGUCGGGAACGGAGCAGGUCAAAACUCCCGUGCCGAUCAGUAGUGGGAUCGCGCCUGUGAAUAGCCCCUGCAGCGUAGCCUGGGCAAGACAGUGAGACACGGUCUCUU
rnacentral:SRP_RNA from 1 species